rnacentral:rRNA from 1 species
AGGACGAACGCUGGCGGCGUGCUUAACACAUGCAAGUCGAGCGGAAAGGCCCUUCGGGUACUCGAGCGGCGAACGGGUGAGUAACACGUGAGUAAUCUGCCCCUAGCUCUGGGAUAGCUCCGGGAAACCGGGAUUAAUACCGGAUACGACCACCUUAGACAUCUUUUGUGGUGGAAAGAAUUUCGGCUAGGGAUGAGCUCGCGGCCUAUCAGCUUGUUGGUGGGGUAACGGCCUACCAAGGCGACGACGGGUAGCCGGCCUGAGAGGGCGACCGGCCACACUGGGACUGAGACACGGCCCAGACUCCUACGGGAGGCAGCAGUGGGGAAUAUUGCGCAAUGGGCGAAAAGCCUGACGCAGCGACGCCGCGUGGGGGAUGAAGGCCUUCGGGUUGUAAACCCUUUCUAGCAGGGACGAAGCGAAAGUGACGGUACCUGCAGAAGAAGACGCCGGCUAACUACGUGCCAGCAGCCGC